UACGUAGGGGCAAGCGUUGUCCGGAUUUAUUGGGCGUAAAGAGCGUGUAGGCGGCCAUACAGGUCAGCUGUGAAAACUCGAGGCUCAACCUCGAGACGUCGGUUGAAACCGUAUGGCUAGAGUCCGGAAGAGGAGAGUGGAAUUCCCGGCGUAGCGGUGAAAUGCGCAGAUAUCGGGAAGAACACCUAUGGCGAAGGCAGCUCUCUGGGACGGUACUGACGCUGAGACGCGAAAGCGUGGGGAGCGAACAGG
rnacentral:rRNA from 1 species